GAGAUGCAGAGAGGUGACGUGACUCAUCAGGUGACAUGACUCACCAGGUCACCUAGCUGGUAAGGGAUGGAACUGGGUUGUGCAUAGAGGCCUAUCUGUGUCCACAGGCAGGCUCCCAGCCACCACCCUCCAGUUCCGUGGCCCUGCUCUGGGACGUGGGAAGAUAAGAAAGAAGAAGGGUGAGUCGGUAUGGUCGUGGAGAGAUUACAUUUUCAGGAAAUGAGGGCUCAGAACAAGGCCUGGCCUAAACAUGGCUGCAGGAGUGGCAAGAGAUAGGAUCAGAGGGAGGAUGGCCUCAGAGAGUGUGGGGAAGAACUUGUGCCCAGAAGAGUCAGGGCAGGACUGGCUGGGCCCUGACGUAAGGCCUCUUGCUCAGAGUCACAGGCAAGAUCAAGUGACCUCUCGAGGUUUCAAGACACGAAGAGACAAAGCCCAGAGCAGCUGCGGCCUGGUCCAGGCCCGGGCAUGCCUGCUGACCCCGGCUGGAUGGUGGCCUUGGAAACUGCUUCCUGCUUCAGUCAGGCCCUAGCCGCGUAACCUUGGAGGACCUGUGACAUUUCUCUUGGCCUCAGGCUCCAGGACUCAGCUGCUCCUCGUUGUCCCACCUACUGGUCCCACCUACUUUGCUCUCUCCCAGGCCUGGCUGUGGACCUGGCCCCUCCCAGCCUCCAGGAUCUGAGGGAAACAGCUGGCUCCCCUCCUCACCACACCCCGGCGGCCAUUCUCUUGGACCCCUCCCAAGGGUACCACCUAGCCCUGGUCUGUGGACAAAGUCAAAGGGGGGCCUUAUCUCUCAGGAUCUGUCCCUCAGGGACUAGUCAUCACCUCUGUCCACCUCCUUCCCUUCAGCCGCCUACCUGCCCACACAGUAACACCUGAAUAUCUUCUUUCAACCUGAUCCCAGGCACAAUAUCAUAAUACAAAUAACAAUGAUGGCAAUAAUAAUGGCAGCUGUCACUCAUUUGGCAUCAUUUAAAUAGAGGCACAGAGAGGUUAAGUUAUGCCCUUAAGAACAAACAGCCAUCUCAUUCAAUUAAGCUGGUGUCUGAAUUUAGGUUGGGCUUCUGUAAAUCAAACUUCUUUGGUGUCCAGAGAUUCAGCGCCCUCCCCUGCAGCCUCCUACAACGGUCCUAGUCCCAACCAUCAGUUCUAAUUUUUGACUUCUAAUCUAUCCUCCUCUCAGCUUCUAGUCACCACCUCCCACCAACAGCCAUCCAACUAGAUGCACUACUCUCCCUCGCCACUAGGUGUCCCCUUGGAGCCACUGAUGCCCCCAAGGGGAGCUGGCCCUGCCCCGCCCCCUGGGGCCAUCAGGGCCCCCCCACAGCACAGCACAGCAGUGCACACCCCACCCCACCCUACCCCCAGCCACACAGAGCUCCUUUGUGCAACCCUCGCCCACCCCCUUCCUCCCUGGAACAGGGCACCUGGCAAGCAGGUCUGCCCCAGAACCGCCCCCUGCCAGCCCCCUGCCCUGGGUGCCAGGUGUGUGGGCGCCACCGCCAGCUCUGGCUGGACCCGAGGGUCACCCUGCCGGCGGCCCUCCCUUCCUCCCUCCGAGGUCACCCAGGGACUAAGCUUCCCGCCCUGCUCCGCCCCCCUCCCCUCCUGCCCUUGGCCCUUCCAGACUCCCGUCCUUGUCUUUCCUUCUGUCUCCCGGAGGACUCCCCUCCUCCAGCCCCACUAGGCCUUCCCUGCAGCCUCUCACCCCCGCCCACCUCCUUCCCCAGAGAGCUCCUUGUUCCACGCCCCCCCGCUCCCCGCCCAGGUCUGAAGAACUCCUCCUCCUGGAAAGUUGCUGCUGGAAAGGAAGUGACUUCAGCAAUUUGGCCACAAGGCUGGGCACUGCUGAGCCCAGCUCAGCUCAAGGCUUGCCCAACCCACCUCCAAAGCACAAAUGGAGCCACAUGUGCACAUCACUCCCACUGUGCACCCAGAACCCUGAGCACACACUUAGCCAGUGUACACACAGAUCCCCGUGUGCAUACACCGUACCAUCGCAGUGUAUUCAGAUCUUGUCUAUACACACAUCUCUCCAGUGUACACUAGCACCCUUGCACACAUGACAUCCAGUGUGGCACACACAGUAUCCCCACACCUGCCCAGUACACACCCAGAAUCCUGCAUAUUCAUACUUCCGGGUACCACAUACACAGCCCUUGAACGCUCCCCAGCCCAGUCCACUUACACAACUCUUGUAUAUUACCCCAUGUGCACGGAAGGACAGAGCCUUCCACACACACCUGCUUGCACACAAGCUUGAGUGCCCUGUACAUUUACAUUCGGAUACACACAGCCUCGCAUCCUCCCACAGCUGUACCUCCCCACCCUUACAAUCCCAGGAGACUCCACCCCCAGACCUCAGGCCCCAGGAAUGCUCCUUUGGAAGUAGGGUGGGGUCCCCAGGCAGGCUCAGCUCUAGGGAGCUUCCUGGAGCCGCAGGCUUCAUGUGUCAGUUCAGGGAGUUGCCUCUGCAGGGCAGGGCAGCUUCACCUGGCUCUGCAGCUCCUGAGCCUGGGUGGGCUAACCUGGGCCAGGAGUAGGGAGGUGGGUCCUGCCACUGCCCCCGCCCCCUCCCUGUCCUGCAAGGGCACCUUAGCAUACCUGGGCUACCCAGGCCCUCCCAGCACC
rnacentral:lncRNA from 10 species